rnacentral:rRNA from 1 species
AUUGAACGCUGGCGGCAGGCCUAACACAUGCAAGUCGAGCGGUAGAGAGAAGCUUGCUUCUCUUGAGAGCGGCGGACGGGUGAGUAAUGCCUAGGAAUCUGCCUGGUAGUGGGGGAUAACGUUCGGAAACGGACGCUAAUACCGCAUACGUCCUACGGGAGAAAGCAGGGGACCUUCGGGCCUUGCGCUAUCAGAUGAGCCUAGGUCGGAUUCGCUAGUUGGUGGGGUAAUGGCUCACCAAGGCGACGAUCCGUAACUGGUCUGAGGGGAUGAUCAGUCACACUGGAACUGAGACACGGUCCAGACUCCGACGGGAGGCAGCAGUGGGGAAUAUUGGACAAUGGGCGAAAGCCUGAUCCAGCCAUGCCGCGUGUGUGAAGAAGGUCUUCGGAUUGUAAAGCACUUUAAGUUGGGAGGAAGGGUUGUAGAUUAAUACUCUGCAAUUUGGACGUUACCGACAGAAUAAGCACCGGCUAACUCUGU